UGGAUUUAGGGCUUAUUAACUCAUGAUGAAUAUCAUUAUUUCCAGAAAUUUGUGAAGAAUUUUCAGGACUUAUAGUAAUAACGGAAUCUUGAUGAUGAUGAUGAUAAUGAUCAAUACUGUUUUGAGUAUUUUUUGUGGUUAUGAAAGUGGAAUCAGAAAAAUACUCAUGUGGAUUUUCUACUGCAAAAUCAGUUUGUUGGUAAUAAUAUGGCAUUUCAUCAUGAUCCAUCCAUUGAGUAGGUGAAGUUGGGAAAGUGUUAUCCAUGGUAUUUAGGUUUUUUGGGUUGCAUGCCAACA
rnacentral:lncRNA from 1 species